AGGCGAUUGGGCCGGAUCCAGCUCCUGGGCCUUAGGUUGCCUACCCCUGUUAUAAACCUGCCUUCCUUUUGCUACUGUAACUGUUGCUUCAAGACAGAGAUUCUACUCCCAUCUGCUUUAUUCCAGUCACUGUGCUAACAACUGCAUCUAUCUGGAGUGUGUUCACAAUGAAGAACGGAGGGGUGAAAUUUCUCCUGGACUAAACUGCCGACUUGCAGACGAUUGAACCAGGGAACUUCUGCAUGUGAGGCUACUGCUGAGCUGUAGUCCUCCCUGAUGCUCAAACGCCGAACAAGAGAGCUAAAUCUGCCUGCCCCCUUUCU